UGUCCCAAUGGUCGCUUCUCUCU
rnacentral:piRNA from 1 species